UGUUUUAUAUGUACAAUGAGGAUAGGUACAGCUUUUAAUGUUUAAUUUAUUUUCUAUGUAUUAUGUGUAUAACAUUCUGUUGUAAGGUAUAUGCAUUGUAAAGCACCUUUGAGCGUACAUAGUGUAUGAAAAGGGUGCUAUAUAAAUAUGGUAUUAUUAUUAUUAUAUAUAUAUAUAUAUCCCAUAUAUAUGGUACUAUAUGAUUUUUGCAUUAUUGAAAGAACUCGCACCUCAGCAGUAAGAGAUAAAAUAAUAUAUAUAUAUACACACACACACGAAUAUCUCUCCAUGUAAAACUUUGAUUUCAUAUUGUGGCCCAAAUCUCACAACUUGAAUCUGCACUACCUAAAGAUGAUUCAUCAUGGCCUUGUUGUUCUUGAAAAGAACAUUUUUCAAAAGAAUUUUUCUAUAUAUCCCCAGGUAAAACUUUUAUCCCUUUUGUGACCCCAUCCAACCUUUGGGGGUCAUGAUUUGAACAAACUUUAGUCUAUCUGUACUAUUUGGAGCUGCUUGCAUAUCAAUAGGAGUAAUCUUAGCCCCGCUAUUCUUGAGAAGUUUUCAAAAGAUUUUUUCUUAUUUUUCACCAUAUAAAACUUGGAUUCCCUAUUGUGGCCCCAUCCUACCUUCCAAUGGCCACAAUUUGAACAUACUUGAAUCUACACUAUUUGGAGAUGCUUGCAUAUUGAUAUGACUCAUCAUGGUCUUGUUAUUCUUAAGAAGAAAAUUUAUAAAUGUUUUUCCUACAUUGUAUAAUCCCCAUGUAAAUUUUUUUUAUCCCCUAUUGUGGCCCCAUCCUACCCCCAGGGAAAUUUGCACAAACUUGAAUCUAUACUAUAUCAGGAUACUUUCAUGUAAAUUUCAACUUUUGUAACUCAGUGGUUCUUGAGAAGAAGAUUUUUAAAUGAACCAACCCUAUUUUUGCCCUUCAUUUAAACAAACUUGAAUCCCCUUCACCCAAGAAUGCUUGGUUGAAAUUGGUCCUGUGGUUCUGGAGAAGUUGAAAAUGUGAAAAGUUUACACACGACAGACAAAAACAGAUUGCAAUAGGUCACCUGAGUGACUCAAGGGACUUUAAAAAAUCACAUUUGCGACCAAGCAUUCUGGUAAUCAACAGUCUGACUGUUGAAUGACUGUUGACAGUCUGACAUUCUCAAAUUAUUUCCACUUGAUGUGUUGCCAUUCUCACAAUAUGACCAUGUUUCACUAACAACAUUUUAUAAAUUUCUCUUUGUAAUGCCAAAUCCACAUAUCACCCUUGAGAUAGCAAGUGAAUGGCCAAACUGCACAGUCAAGGUAAUUUUAUACUUAAAUAAGCAUGCUGUUCUGUUUUCUGUUCGUGCAUGUACAAGAAAUGACUUAGUCAGACAUGGCUUCAUUAUGAAAGUGUGUACUACAUUUAUUUCAUUCACCUUACAAGACAUUUUCACACAAGAAAUGUGACUAAUGUAGUUUCUUACAUGAAUUUAUAAACAUAAUAAAAAUUACAUAAAUUUAUAUCUAAUUCAUAAGGGCUAUUCCAGCAAAAAAAAUAUGGGGGGGAGGGAAGGCACUUUAUUUUUAAGACAGCCACCCAUACAAUUAAAUUUUCCUCUGCUACCACCACCCAUACAAUUAGAUUCUCCCCUGCCACCACCACCCAUACAAUUCAAUACUUUCAUUUAAGGUAACAAAUGGAUCAACCAUAUGAUAUUUUAGAACUUAAUUCUAGUUUAUAUUUUUAAAAAUGCAAAAAAUAUAAACAAUAAAAUGUCUUUCUUUGUUGUUUCAUCGGGAGACGAAAGUAGCAAUCAUUGCAGAAAAAAUUACAUAUUUUGGUUUCCAAUGCAAUUUUGGUAGGGAGAAAAAAAGGAUGAUCUCAGCAUAUAAAACGAAAGAAUAAAUGCAAUUGAUUUUGUAUACUCUGGAAACAUGCGAGUUGUAGAAACCUAAGCUCUGUUUGCUUAUUAUAAACGAACAGUUUCACUAAUGAUGUGGGAUAUUGUCAUAUCAUUUCUGGACUAGAUGUGCAUGUCCUUUUUACUCAUGUCAUGAUCUGGGUGCUUGUUAAUUGUUGAAAUAACAAGAAGUUUUUUUUUUAAUGAUAUAAAACUAAAUAAAAUAUGAAUAUAUUAUAUCACUUUAAAUUUAAAUUCACAUAUAUUGUUACUCUCUUUAUUGCUUUUAAAAGACAAGUGUCUUAUUACAUCAGUUACAAUAUGUAUACUUAAAAUGGCAUUGUAUAGUGGUGUACAAAUUCAAGCAAGCAACGGAGAACUUUUCAACGAGUUAGGUUUUCUCGCAACUUAAGUGCAAGACAUAGAUAUUUCCCUAAAUUACAAAGUGUAUGCAUAUAGAUUGUGACGUUUUUCCUUUGACUUUUCCCCCUACAAUCUCUCGUAGGCCUACAGGAAACUCGCGAAUAUUCCAUUUAAAAUUUCAGUCCCAAGCAUAAUAUUUACCCGAUUUAUAUCGCAAUCAGGCAAAUUUUCCACUCUGUUAAACGUAAUGAUAUAACAGGUGGGAGAUUUCAUAUCCGAAUUACCCCGCACAUCUCAAAGUCUGUCGAAAUUCACACCUUCGGAAACAACGGUCCUGAUUCCCUGAUCCUUGAUUUUGUUAAAUAAACAACAACUCGGGUUUUGGUAAUUAACCUCACACGACGCUGCAUGUUAAUUACACGUUAACCAAUUGAUAGCUUGGGUAUAAUAAUUGAUUCAGAGUGCCGAUUAAAGAAGAUCACCUCCGAUCUAUUACCUGUGUAUUUUAAAACGAAAGUGUUAGGAGCGAUAAUUCCCAGAAUAGUCAUGCUCGACUGAAAUCGAAAGUAGGAAUCGCGUUGUAAUCGAAAAAAUGGACAGUCGUUUCUUAAAGGUGAAAUUACACGAAAAGGUUGUAAAACUCAUGAUCGUUGGUUGCGUCAGACAGGUGGUCGUUUAGGACAGGUACAAUAGGUUGGGUAACGCCUUGGAGGGGAAAGGUUUACGAAUAUCAAAGUUGUCAGCAUAAGGAGAAUAUCUACUACAACAUGACUUUCAGGUGAAACACUAUACCACUAUAUCUUCAUGAAAUGGAUCCUGUGCUACACCUCUUACCCAUGUGAUAGAUGUGGAUCCUCCUCUGGAUUUGUUGUGAAGAAGACGGGGGCAUUUUCAAAACCACAGCUACCUAGGCUACUGAUACUCGUGUUACUUCCUCGAAUACUGAAUCGGCGAUGGUCCGAGUCUAUAAAAACAUCUUAUAAAGAUAAUCAUUACACAUGGAAUACUGAAUCGGUGAUGGUCCAAGUCUACAAAAACAUCUUAUAAAUUAUCAUUACACAUGGAAUACUGAAUCGGUGAUGGUCCGAGUCUACAAAAACAUCUUAUAAAGAUUAUCAUUACACAUGGAAUACUGAAUCGGCGAUGGUCCAAGUCUACAAAAACAUCUUAUAAAGAUUAUCAUUACA